UCAUUUUCUAUUAUUGAACCCUCUCCUCCCGAGUCCCCACCCCUCUAUAAAUACAAAACAUUCAUACCAAUAGUUGCUCAACACAUCCAUUCCAUUUAAAAGACGCCUAGAGAAAAAAAGAAGGGCAAAAAAAAGAAUAAGAGAGAGAGCAUCAGACGGGGUUUGAAUUAUGGCAAGCAUCAACGUUCCUGGAAAGAGCUCGUGGCCGGAGCUGGUAGGGAAAAAUGGGGGGGUUGCGGCAACAACGAUAAUCAGUGAGAAUCCAAAUGUGUUUGUGGUGAUAAUCCCCCCGUCUAUCACCGCCGUCACCGGCCCCUACUUAGGCAAUCGUGUCCGUGUCGUUGUCGAUGACUCCUGCAUUGUCACUGCAGUCCCUAAUAUUGGGUGAACAAUCGUGUCACUAAAUUGAAUAAUAUGAAUGAGCUCCUCAAUAUGUUAAUUAGGGGAGCCGAUGCCCAUCGCUCUUAAAAGUUAUGAAAUAAAUGUUCUUUAUUCCGUGUCCGUCUUAAUCUA